rnacentral:rRNA from 1 species
CAGAAAAGGAGCUUGCUCCUUUGACGUUAGCGGCGGACGGGUGAGUAACACGUGGGCAACCUACCCUAUAGUUUGGGAUAACUCCGGGAAACCGGGGCUAAUACCGAAUAAUCUCUUUUGCUUCAUGGUGAAAGACUGAAAGACGGCAUCUCGCUGUCGCUAUAGGAUGGGCCCGCGGCGCAUUAGCUAGUUGGUGAGGUAACGGCUCACCAAGGCGACGAUGCGUAGCCGACCUGAGAGGGUGAUCGGCCACACUGGGACUGAGACACGGCCCAGACUCCUACGGGAGGCAGCAGUAGGGAAUCUUCCACAAUGGGCGAAAGCCUGAUGGAGCAACGCCGCGUGAGUGAAGAAGGUUUUCGGAUCGUAAAACUCUGUUGUAAGGGAAGAACAAGUACAGUAGUAACUGGCUGUACCUUGACGGUAGCUUAUUAGAAAGCCACGGCUAACUACGUGCCAGCAGCCGCGGUAAUACGUAGGUGGCAAGCGUUGUCCGGAAUUAUUGGGCGUAAAGCGCGCGCAGGCGGUCCUUUAAGUCUGAUGUGAAAGCCCACGGCUCAACCGUGGAGGGUCAUUGGAAA